CAUUUCUCCUUUGUAAAAAAAAGUAGAAAAGACGUAAUCAAUAGAUGUUAUACAUGCGAUUCAUUGAAUUUGGAUAAAUAAGUAUUUUGGAUUGAAAAAAAAAUAAAAAAUGAGUAGUGGAUUUUGGUAAGCUGUCAAUUGGUUAAUACCAGAACGGCUGAAACUAAACUGCUUGCGAAAAUUAUCAUGUCCCUCUUAAUUAAACACCCAACGAAAAGUACUUAU
rnacentral:sRNA from 1 species